AUGCGGAGCCCGCGCGCCCGCCCGCUCGCUCCCCAGGGGCCGCGCGUCGGCACUCACGCUGAGGGGGGAGGGCGAGCUGCCAGAGAGCGGAGGGGGGGUCAGGCCGCUGUUGCCGCCGCCGCAGCCACCAAGCCUGGCCCUGCCACUGCCAGAGCCGCCGCCGCUUCCCUCAGUUUCGUUUUCCCACGACCAGCCCCGGUCCGCCGGCCGUGCUGUCGCGCUCGGGUCCCGCCCUGCGGGCCGCGCAGCUUGAUGACGUCACAGGGCAGCCUGCUUUCUCCUCCCGGCCAGGUCGUGGCCCCGGGGAAGACCGCUCGGGUGCUGGUUCGCCCCGCCCCCGGGCGGCCCAGGGAGCCUGCGCAGAAGAGCCAACCGGGACAGGAUACAAAAGCAAAAGUCACUAAAGAACAAGUUUAGGGCUAAACGGAAAACUGGUUAAGGGCAGAAACCCAGUCUUCUUGUUCACUGCUGUAUCCCCAACAACAUCCUCAACAGAUGUUGAACAAGUUGGGAGGAAAGAAGAAAUGCUGCCUAUGGCAUCUUACCAUAUGGACACAGAUGGCUUCCCAUCCCAAAACCCUCUUCCGAUUUUCAGGCCAAUAUGGCCAAAAGUCUGCGGAACAUCCUCACUCAGUCACUUCAUACCCAUAAGUUCAAAUCUGACCUUAUGGUCUCCCUUAAGCCUGCUUUUUCCAGUGAAUAGCACCACCAUUCAUCCUGUUGGUCCAAGCAGAAAUCUGAGGAUGCUCCAUCUUCCUCAUUACGCAGAACCUCCAAUAUACACUUCAUUGAGUUCACCUCCUAAUUAUCUCUCAAAUCUAUCCAUUCUUCUCCAUCCCCAUUGCCACUACCCACACACUCACCUUCUCUCACCAAGAUUUCUCCAAUAAUCUCCAAAUCACUGUGCCUGACUCCAGUCGUGAUCCCUCUAGUGCAUGCUCCACAAAACCCAAGUGAUUUUUUUAAAAAAUUUAUUCUGAUCUGUCACAAUCCAUCAAUGAUUUAAACCCAUCACUGGGCCAGGCCGGUGGCGCAGCAGUUCAGUUCACACGUUUCACUUCUCGGUGGCCCCGGGUUCGCCAGUUCAGAUCCUGGGUGCAGACAUGGCACCACUUGGCAAAAGCCAUGCUGUGGUGGGCGCCUCUUGUAUAAAGUGGAGGAAGAUGAGCAUGAAUGUUAGCUUAGGGCCAGUCUUCCUCAGCAAAAAAAAAAAAAAAAAAAGAGGAUUAGUAGUAGUUAGCUCAGGGCUAAUCUUCCUCAAAAAAAAAAAAAAUCAGGCCAGCCCUGUGGCAAGUGGUUAAAGUUCACAUGCUCUGCUUCAGCAGCCCAGGAUUUCAGUGGUUCAGAGCCUAGACAAGGCACCACUCAUCAAGCCAUGCUGAGGCAGCAUCCUACAUAGCACAACCAGAGACACUCAAAGCUAGAAUACACAACUAUGUAUGGGGGGCUUUCGGGAGAAGAAGAAGAAGAAGAAAAGAUUGGCAACAGAUGUUAGCUCAGGUGCCAGUCUUUAAAAUAAAUAAAUAAAUGAAACCCA
rnacentral:lncRNA from 1 species